UACAGCCAUACAGGCCUAAAUGCUCUCCAUCUCGUCUGAUCUUGGAAACUAAGUACAGUUGGGCCUGGUUAGUACUUGAAUGGGAGACGAAACUUGCGUUCUUUGGACUCCUGAGAAAAUCUGGUUUCACUUUGU
rfam:Canis lupus familiaris chromosome 25, whole genome shotgun sequence.